rnacentral:tRNA from 1 species
GCCGGAGUAGCUCAGUUGGCAGAGCAAUUCACUCGUAAUGAAUAGGUCACGAGUUCGAGUCUCGUCUUCGGCUCCA